rnacentral:rRNA from 1 species
GACGAACGCUGGCGGCGUGCUUAACACAUGCAAGUCGAACGAUGAACCGGUUUCGGCCGGGGAUUAGUGGCGAACGGGUGAGUAACACGUGGGCAAUCUGCCCUGCACUCUGGGAUAAGCCCGGGAAACUGGGUCUAAUACCGGAUACGACACUCCGAGGCAUCUUGGGGUGUGGAAAGUUCCGGCGGUGCAGGAUGAGCCCGCGGCCUAUCAGCUUGUUGGUGGGGUAAUGGCCUACCAAGGCGACGACGGGUAGCCGGCCUGAGAGGGUGACCGGCCACACUGGGACUGAAACACGGCCCAGACUCCUACGGGAGGCAGCAGUGGGGAAUAUUGCACAAUGGGCGAAAGCCUGAUGCAGCGACGCCGCGUGAGGGAUGACGGCCUUCGGGUUGUAAACCUCUUUCAGCAGGGAAGAAGCGAAAGUGACGGUACCUGCAGAAGAAGCACCGGCUAACUACGUG